ACAAUAUCCAUAUCAAAUUUGCCAUUGCAUGUAAAAUAUUCUUUUCAACAAAUUUUAUCUAGAUAAUAUUUUUGAAAUAUUUGCUCAACACCAUAAGUCUAUGACAUCUGGGUUGAAUCAAGGAGAGUUGGCUUCAAAGUUAAAUUUCAAUUAUUUUAUUUUUGAUAAAAUCACAUAUACCAAGAUGCCAUAUCAAUAUCAGAUGAUGUUUAGAUAUUAGUAAUAAAUAUUUGCUCAACACCAAAAACCUAUGACAUCUGGACUGAAUCAAGGAGAGUUGGCUUCAAACUUAUCAAUUAUGCAGGAUCGAGAGUAUUCAAACAAUUAAGAAGUAAAAGAACAGUUUUAUCUCCUCGUAUAAAUGUUAAUGAGUCGGAGAAAAUCAUUAAAUUCUCCUAUAUUCCUCUAGAUAACGAAAACCUUAAUAAUUUAGAUUUUGAUAAUGACUACGAGAUAAGAUACAUAAAGAAAACGCCCUGGUACCUAAUCAACGCAAUAAAUACAAAAAAUAAAUCUAAAGUAUUUAACGUCAAAGAAUACACUGAUUAUCGCAUAACAACUCUAACUUCUCCAUUAUAAUUAAUUACAAUAUAUUUUGAUAUAAUAGACGUUAGCAUUUAAAUUAUAUUAUAGAUUACGAAGAAUAUUAGUUUAUAUGAUAUUUUAUAAUCAAUAAUUUUAUGUUACUACUACU